rnacentral:rRNA from 1 species
GACGAACGCUGGCGGCGUGCUUAACACAUGCAAGUCGAACGAUAAAGAAGAGCUUGCUCUUCGGAUUAGUGGCGAACGGGUGAGUAACACGUGACUAACCUGCCCCUUUCUCUGGGAUAACGCUCCGAAAGGAGUGCUAAUACCGGAUACUCACAUCGAGGCACAUGCCUUGAUGUGGAAAGUUUUUCGGAAAGGGAUGGAGUCGCGGCCUAUCAGCUUGUUGGUGAGGUAACGGCUCACCAAGGCGACGACGGGUAGCCGGCCUGAGAGGGCGACCGGCCACACUGGGACUGAGACACGGCCCAGACUCCUACGGGAGGCAGCAGUGGGGAAUAUUGCACAAUGGGCGAAAGCCUGAUGCAGCGACGCCGCGUGAGGGAUGGAGGUCUUCGGAUUGUAAACCUCUUUCAGUAGGGACGAAGCGAAAGUGACGGUACCCAAAGAAGAAGCACCGGCUAACUACGUGCCAGCCGCCGCAGUAA